rnacentral:rRNA from 1 species
CAUGUAGGCGGUUAUAAAAGCUUGAUGUGAAAUCUCUGGGCUCAACCCAGAAACUGCAUUGAGAACUGUAUGACUAGAGUUACUAAGGGGAAACUAGAAUUCCAGGUGUAGGGGUGGAAUCUGUAGAUAUCUGGAAGAAUACCAAUGGCGAAGGCAAGUUUCUAGUAGAUAACUGACGCUGAGGUGCGAAGGUGCGGGGAGCGAACA